rnacentral:rRNA from 1 species
CACAUGCAAGUCGAGCGGAAACGAGUUAUCUGAACCUUCGGGGAACGAUAACGGCGUCGAGCGGCGGACGGGUGAGUAAUGCCUAGGAAAUUGCCCUGAUGUGGGGGAUAACCAUUGGAAACGAUGGCUAAUACCGCAUGAUGCCUACGGGCCAAAGAGGGGGACCUUCGGGCCUCUCGCGUCAGGAUAUGCCUAGGUGGGAUUAGCUAGUUGGUGAGGUAAGGGCUCACCAAGGCGACGAUCCCUAGCUGGUCUGAGAGGAUGAUCAGCCACACUGGAACUGAGACACGGUCCAGACUCCUACGGGAGGCAGCAGUGGGGAAUAUUGCACAAUGGGCGCAAGCCUGAUGCAGCCAUGCCGCGUGUGUGAAGAAGGCCUUCGGGUUGUAAAGCACUUUCAGUCGUGAGGAAGGUAGUGUAGUUAAUAGCUGCAUUAUUUGACGUUAGCGACAGAAGAAGCACCGGCUAACUCCGUGCCAGCAGCCGCGGUAAUACGGAGGGUGCGAGCGUUAAUCGGAAUUACUGGGCGUAAAGCGCAUGCAGGUGGUUUGUUAAGUCAGAUGUGAAAGCCCGGGGCUCAACCUCGGAAUUGCAUUUGAAACUGGCAGACUAGAGUACUGUAGAGGGGGGUAGAAUUUCAGGUGUAGCGGUGAAAUGCGUAGAGAUCUGAAGGAAUACCGGUGGCGAAGGCGGCCCCCUGGACAGAUACUGACACUCAGAUGCGAAAGCGUGGGGAGCAAACAGGAUUAGAUACCCUGGUAGUCCACGCCGUAAACGAUGUCUACUUGGAGGUUGUGGCCUUGAGCCGUGGCUUUCGGAGCUAACGCGUUAAGUAGACCGCCUGGGGAGUACGGUCGCAGAUUAAAACUCAAUGAAUUGACGGGGCCCGC